GGUGACCUCGGAUCAGGU
rnacentral:rRNA from 1 species